GACGAACGCUGGCGGCGUGCUUAACACAUGCAAGUCGAACGGAAAGGCCCCUUUGGGGGUACUCGAGUGGCGAACGGGUGAGUAACACGUGAGUAACCUGCCCUUGACUUCGGGAUAACUUCAGGAAACUGGGGCUAAUACCGGAUAGGAAUCCUUGCUGCAUGGUGGGGGUUGGAAAGCUUCGGCGGUUUUGGAUGGACUCUCGGCUUAUCAGCUUGUUGGUGGGGUAGUGGCUUACCAAGGCUUUGACGGGUAGCCGGCCUGAGAGGGCGACCGGCCACAUUGGGACUGAGAUACGGCCCAGACGCCGACGGGAGGCAGCAGUGGGGAAUAUUGCACAAUGGGCGGAAGCCUGAUGCAGCAACGCCGCGUGCGGGAUGACGGCCUUCGGGUUGUAAACCGAUUUCAGCAGGGGCGAAGCUUGUGGUGACGGUACCUGCAGAAGAAGCACCGGCUAACUACGUG
rnacentral:rRNA from 1 species